rnacentral:rRNA from 1 species
UGAAGGUGUGUCGUGAGGCAUGCUGGAGGUAUCAGAAGUGCGAAUGCUGACAUAAGUAACGAUAAAGCGGGUGAAAAGCCCGCUCGCCGGAAGACCAAGGGUUCCUGUCCAACGUUAAUCGGGGCAGGGUGAGUCGACCCCUAAGGCGAGGCCGAAAGGCGUAGUCGAUGGGAAACGGGUUAAUAUUCCCGUACUUGGUGUUACUGCGAAGGGGGGACGGAGAAGGCUAUGUUGGCCGGGCGACGGUUGUCCCGGUUUAAGCGUGUAGGUGUGUGUUCCAGGUAAAUCCGGUUCACUUUAACACUGAGGCGUGACGACGAGGCACUACGGUGCUGAAGCAACAAAUGCCCUGCUUCCAGGAAAAGCCUCUAAGCAUCAGGUAACAUCAAAUCGUACCCCAAACCGACACAGGUGGUCAGGUAGAGAAUACCAAGGCGCUUGAGAGAACUCGGGUGAAGGAACUAGGCAAAAUGGUGCCGUAACUUCGGGAGAAGGCACGCUGACACGUAGGUGAAGUGAUUUACUCAUGGAGCUGAAGUCAGUCGAAGAUACCAGCUGGCUGCAACUGUUUAUUAAAAACACAGCACUGUGCAAACACGAAAGUGGACGUAUACGGUGUGACGCCUGCCCGGUGCCGGAAGGUUAAUUGAUGGGGUCAGCGCAAGCGAAGCUCCUGAUCGAAGCCCCGGUAAACGGCGGCCGUAACUAUAACGGUCCUAAGGUAGCGAAAUUCCUUGUCGGGUAAGUUCCGACCUGCACGAAUGGCGUAAUGAUGGCCAGGCUGUCUCCACCCGAGACUCAGUGAAAUUGAACUCGCUGUGAAGAUGCAGUGUACCCGCGGCAAGACGGAAAGACCCCGUGAACCUUUACUAUAGCUUGACACUGAACAUUGAGCCUUGAUGUGUAGGAUAGGUGGGAGGCUUUGAAGUGUGGACGCCAGUCUGCAUGGAGCCGACCUUGAAAUACCACCCUUUAAUGUUUGAUGUUCUAACGUGGACCCGUUACCCGGGUUGCGGACAGUGUCUGGUGGGUAGUUUGACUGGGGCGGUCUCCUCCUAAAGAGUAACGGAGGAGCACGAAGGUUGGCUAAUCCUGGUCGGACAUCAGGAGGUUAGUGCAAUGGCAUAAGCCAGCUUGACUGCGAGCGUGACGGCGCGAGCAGGUGCGAAAGCAGGUCAUAGUGAUCCGGUGGUUCUGAAUGGAAGGGCCAUCGCUCAACGGAUAAAAGGUACUCCGGGGAUAACAGGCUGAUACCGCCCAAGAGUUCAUAUCGACGGCGGUGUUUGGCACCUCGAUGUCGGCUCAUCACAUCCUGGGGCUGAAGUAGGUCCCAAGGGUAUGGCUGUUCGCCAUUUAAAGUGGUACGCGAGCUGGGUUUAGAACGUCGUGAGACAGUUCGGUCCCUAUCUGCCGUGGGCGCUGGAGAACUGAGGGGGGCUGCUCCUAGUACGAGAGGACCGGAGUGGACGCAUCACUGGUGUUCGGGUUGUCAUGCCAAUGGCACUGCCCGGUAGCUAAAUGCGGAAGAGAUAAGUGCUGAAAGCAUCUAAGCACGAAACUUGCCCCGAG